rnacentral:rRNA from 1 species
AUUGAACGCUGGCGGAAUGCUUUACACAUGCAAGUCGAGCGGCAGCACGGGGGCAACCCUGGUGGCGAGCGGCGAACGGGUGAGUAAUACAUCGGAACAUGCCCAGUCGUGGGGGAUAACACUGCGAAAGAAGUGCUAAUACCGCAUACGCCCUGAGGGAGAAAGCGGGGGAUCGUCGGACCUCGAGGGUUUGGAGUGGCCGAGGUCAGAUUAGCUAGUUGGUGGGGUAACGGCCUACCAAGGCAACGAUCUGUAGCUGGUCUGAGAGGAUGAUCAGCCACACUGGGACUGAGACACGGCCCAGACUCCUACGGGAGGCAGCAGUGGGGAAUAUUGGACAAUGGGCGGAAGCCUGAUCCAGCCAUGCCGCGUGUGUGAAGAAGGCCUUUUGGUUGUAAAGCACUUUAAGCGAGGAGGAGGCUACCUGGAUUAAUACUCUAGGAUAGUGGACGUUACUCGCAGAAUAAGCACCGGCUAACUCUGUGCCAGCAGCCGCAGUAACAC